GAUACCUAAACUGCCAAUCAGAACUGAGACACAUAUGGUAGUGGAUUGAAGGACUUUGAUUACUUGUUUCCAGCCCAUGGAGAAUGCAUGAAACAAGUGAAGUACUAAACAUUAGGUGGUUGUGUAAAUUUGUUGACAAAGACCAGAUUAAAGUGAGGUUCUCUGAAUGUACCUUGAAGAUGUCAGCUGCUUUCCAGUGUUUCUGCUUUCCAGUAGUGCCAGUGGUCUCUGAGAACAUGAUGUGAAAACCAGUCCAAAAUACAACAAUGCCUCAUGGCAAUGGCAACUCAGUCAGAGAGCUGGACCCUGUACAAAUGUCCUGCUGGAUGGAUAAACCCUGAAAGAACAGUCUGCCAGAAAAACAACAGUCAAAACAGGUUUGUCAUAAAGGAGGAGACGUCUUUCUGGUUUAGAUCUUAGUUAUGUGAGAAGACACCUUUUCUCCCCUGUGCAAUCUGCAGCUGUCGAGGUAGCCUGCUAAGGGAGCCAUCACUGACUUGAACCGUCUUGAAACCAUCUGAUCAUGCACCUGAUCCUCACCUAUGCAAGUGGCUUCUUCUGAUGGUUGGGUUUAUUCCACAUCACAUCAGAGUGCCUGAGAGCUACGGGCUGUGCUCAGAUUCUGAUGGCACCAAUGGUGCUGCUGUGUGCACAUGCUCCCCAAUAGAGAAAUGGGAGUGGAUGUGGAUUAUACUGCCUCGACUCAGGGCACAGCCAAAGGAUGCAGCCUCAGUUGAGCAGAAGGAUGAACAAACUGUCGAGCUGGUUCGUGACAAUUUUUGUUACUGCUCUCUGCAGCUCCCAGUGAACAUGAAGAGCAGCUAAUGCAGGGAAUCAGGCUACAGAGGCCUGACCUGGUAAAUGGAGGUUACUCUGAAAACUGUACUUAAUAACUGCUACUGUUAUUCACCCUACUCUAUACUGAACCAGCGAGACAUGUUGGAAACAUCACCAGAGUCAAGAGUCAAUUCCAGAAGUAUUUGAGACCCUUGGCCUGAGUCUGCCACUGCAUUUUAUGGAGAAGAAUGGUGAGCAUGUGUACUUGUCAGCAUUCAAAGCAGCUGGCAAUACAGCCUGCAUUGAAUCUCUGCAGCUCUGAGGAGGCAGCAUGCAGCUGGGGAAGAGCUGAGCAGGAGCUGCAGAGCUGGAACAGAUGUGGAAAGGCAUUGGAGCUGGAGCUGAGCCACUUGCAGUUAUGCAUGGAAAAAUCCAUAAGAACUUCGCAUGAGGCCACAGACAAAGAGUGGUUGUGGUGUCUGGAAGUGAAAUGAGGCAUUAAAAUAAAAAAGCCCAGAUUAAAGAAAUCAUGGGGAGUAAUUUUACUGUUUCAGGGUUUUUCUUAGGGCUGAAUAGUGAGGGACAGAGUUUGAAUGUAAAGAAGCACCAGGAACUGUUGCCAUGUUAUUGUGAAAGUCCCACACCUUCUCGGUAAUUUCUCAUGGUCACCUCCUCACAGCGCUGACUCCUUCCUCUUCUCAGUACAGACAACAAACUUCAGCCCUCUUACAGCACAACCAACAAACUCCAACUCUCCUCUCACCCCACUCCUUGUAGCACUCAUCUCCUUAUUGGACACAACUAUGGCCUAUUAAGGGCAGGCCUGCUCCUAAUCUUUGGUGAUUAGUACAGCUGCAACUCCUCAGGUGUGAGAUUACCUUCUGCGCUAUUCUCUUACAUUCUAUCCCUCCACAAGAAACAAUAGCUGGAAGUACCAACUACAGAAGACAGAGAGACAGGUUCUCCUACAUCUUAGUCAAGUGCAAAACCCCACAGGGAAAUGCAGGAUUCUUUUCAGGUUUGAAUGCAUUCCUUUAAAAUGUGGCAUAUCCAAUUCCACCACAUAUUUGUGUUGUUGUACCAAAGAUAAAGGCUGCUUUCACAUAAAUUCUUUUAUGCUGAACAGCUAAACUAUCAAAAGGCUGGUACCUUCUUCAAGAGCUUACAGCCAUGAGGUACAACAAUAGACCUCAAAAAAUAAGGAGAAAACAACAGAGGAAAGUGCUGCUAUUAUAGUACAAGAGUUUUAUUGCACAUUGCGAGGGCUCCAUAUUGCUAGAUUUUCAUACCUCCUUGAUGGAGCUUUCUUGUAGGCAGCUCCUCCAGGCACUGACUCUUCCUUGUCCUCACAGCAGCCAACUAACUCCAGCUCCUACCAAUCCACUCUUUUAUAACACUCUUCUUAUUGGCUACAGGUGUGGCCUGUUAACAUCAGGCCAGCUCCUAAUCUUUAGUAAUUGGUUCAGCUGCAACUCCUUAGGGGUAAGAUUACUUUCUAUACUACCUUUAUUUACUUAUGUUCUAUCCCCCUACAGGAAAGGGAAGGUUUUCAAAUAGAUCACAAAGGAAAUCUUUAGGGUUCCAUCAGGAUGACAUUUUCAUCAUUCAUGGAGUAAUGGCUAUAAAAUGAAAGAGGAGAGACAUAGGUUAGAUAUUAGGAAGGAAUUUGUUAUUGUCAUGAUGGGGAGGCACUGCAACAAGUUGCCUAAAAAAAUUGUGGAUAUCCCAUCCCAGGAAAUGUUCAAGAAUAGGUUGUGGUUCAAGACCCAGUGUGCUGUUUAGUGUCUGCUUAUCUUUCAAAUAUGCAAACCUUGCUCUGCUUCACUUCAUGUGAAAAUUUAAAAGUUGUAGGAUCUUCAUCACAAAAUUCAGUAGGUUUUGAAGUAAGCAAAAAAUAUUACACAUUGUGAUUGGAGUACAACGGUCAAUAUGUCCUGGAGCUCAAAAUAUAGUUUAGAUUAAGGUAACACUUUGUGAAAUUUUAUAGUGACCCAGAUCUGAACUAUGCUUUUCUGUUCAAAUACUGAAAUUGGUUACACCUACCUCUUUUAUACAGACUGUCUGCAAUGGUAAAGAGGCUGUUGACACUUCCAGAUGAAUUUUGCUUUGAAUUUUUGAAUUUGUCUGAACUUGAAUUUCAAAGCAAAACUCAGAGUGUGUGAGAUCAAAUAAAUGAAAACCCAAAAGUCUGCAUGAAUUCCUGUAAGAUGAAAUAACGGAGUCCUUGCCAGAUUUGCUUACUAUCUAAAAAUAGUUCAAUCUCAUCUAUUCAGAAUCUCCUGUGAUAGCAGAAGGAGUAAUAUAAAGACCAAGAGACAUGUGAGAAGCUAAGUCAGAGGCUUGAAAGGAAGGCAAGGAAAAAGAGACUCUGUAACUGUGAUGUGAACUUUGUCCCUCUUUGAAAUGGCAUUUAAGUGUAGUGACUGUGGUACUUACUGUAAAUGGAUUGUCACGCACCCUCCUAAAGCUGUGUGUGUGCCCCCUCUGAGUGAUUGAGGUGGAUGUGCUAUCCAGGUAACAGACUAGAGUUUUUUUCUUUUUUUUUUAAAGAACAAAAAUUAUUAUGUAAAUAUGGUGGAACAAAAGCAACAAAAAAGAGAAGGAG